CACGAAGCAAAGUGAGCUAAUUUAGUACAUUUACUAGAAUGGUAAAUAUGUUACAUAAUAUUUCAGUGAUAUUGAAUUAGAAGUGAUAUUCUUCACACAUUUUGCGAUAUCUUGACGUGUCUGAUAAGUAUUUAGUACGAUGACAACUAAAGAGCGCUUAGGUUUUUUAGAAUUAUUAAUUACUAUAAAUUCUUAUUAGCGAUUUUUAAAAAUUUACUGCUAUACAACAUAAUAUUGAUAUAUUCUAUUUAUAAUUAUUAAGACACAAUGGUUAACUUAAGUAUACAUAUCUUAUGUUAUUAUAAGUAAUAAAUAGAUAUUAAAAAUGAACUCGGCAACAUAACUUUCAACUGUUUAUCAAAAACAUAGUUAUUAGUAAUUAUUAAUAAUUUGUUCUGCUCAAUGAACUAUUUAAAUAGCCGCAGUACCCUGACUGUGCAAAGGUAGCAUAAUCAAUUGGCUUAUAAUUGAAGUCUUGAAUGAAUGAAUUUAUGGGGGUUAGCUGUAUCUUUAAUAUAACAUUAAAUUAUUUAAAAAGUGCAAAUACUUUUAUAUAAAUAAUAGACGAGAAGACCCUAGAAAUUUUAAGACAAGGAAAAUAAUGGUUUUUGUUGGGGCAACAGUGUAACAAUAAACUUACAUAAUUACAUGAAAUAUAAUAGGUUGAAUAAAUUACUCUAGGGAUAACAGCGUAAUAUUAAUGUGUUUGCGACCUCGAUGUUGGACUAGGAAACGAAAGCUUAG
rnacentral:rRNA from 1 species